GAUGAACGCUGGCGGCGUGCCUAAUACAUGCAAGUCGAGCGGCAGCGGACCUUCGGGUGCCGGCGAGCGGCGGACGGCUGAGUAACGCGUAGGAACGUACCCCGAAGUGAGGGAUAGCCCACCGAAAGGUGGAUUAAUACCGCAUAUUCUCUAAGGAGCAAAGCAGCAAUGCGCUUUGGGAACGGCCUGCGUCUGAUUAGCUUGUUGGUGAGGUAAAGGCUCACCAAGGCGAUGAUCGGUAGCUGGUUUGAGAGGAUGAUCAGCCAGACU
rnacentral:rRNA from 1 species